AGCGAACGCUGGCGGCAGGCCUAACACAUGCAAGUCGAACGAACUCUUCGGAGUUAGUGGCGGACGGGUGAGUAACACGUGGGAACGUGCCUUUUGGUUCGGAAUAACUCAGGGAAACUUGUGCUAAUACCGAAUGUGCCCUUCGGGGGAAAGAUUUAUCGCCAUUAGAGCGGCCCGCGUCUGAUUAGCUAGUUGGUGAGGUAACGGCUCACCAAGGCGACGUUCAGUAGCUGGUCUGAGAGGAUGACCAGCCACACUGGGACUGAGACACGGCCCAGACUCCUACGGGAAGCAGCAGUGGGGAAUCUUGCGCAAUGGGCGAAAGCCUGACGCAGCCAUGCCGCGUGAAUGAUGAAGGUCUUAGGAUUGUAAAAUUCUUUCACCGGGGACGAUAAUGACGGUACCCGGAGAAGAAGCCCCGGCUAACUUCGUG
rnacentral:rRNA from 1 species